rnacentral:rRNA from 1 species
AGAGUUUGAUCAUGGCUCAGAACGAACGCUGGCGGCAGGCCUAACACAUGCAAGCCGAACGAGAUCUUCGGAUCUAGUGGCGGACGGGUUAGUAACGCGUGGGAACGUGCCUUUCACUACGGAAUAGUCCCGGGAAACUGGGUUUAAUACCGUAUACGCCCUUCGGGGGAAAGAAUUUCGGUGAGAGAUCGGCCCGCGUUAGAUUAGGUAGUUGGUGGGGUAAUGGCCUACCAAGCCUACGAUCUAUAGCUGGUUUUAGAGGAUGAUCAGCAACACUGGGACUGAGACACGGCCCAGACUCCUACGGGAGGCAGCAGUGGGGAAUCUUAGACAAUGGGGGAAACCCUGAUCUAGCCAUGCCGCGUGAGUGACGAAGGCCCUAGGGUCGUAAAGCUCUUUCGCCAGGGAUGAUAAUGACAGUACCUGGUAAAGAAACCCCGGCUAACUCCGUGCCAGCAGCCGCGGUAAUACGGA